UACGUAGGGGGCAAGCGUUGUCCGGAUUUAUUGGGCGUAAAGAGCGUGUAGGCGGCCACACAGGUUAGCUGUGAAAACUGGAGGCUUAACCUCCAGCUGUCGAUGGAAACCAUUUGGCUAGAGUCCGGAAGAGGAGAGUGGAAUUCCUGGUGUAGCGGUGAAAUGCGCAGAUAUCAGGAAGAACACCCGUGGCGAAGGCGGCUCUCUGGGACGGUACUGACGCUGAGACGCGAAAGCGUGGGGAGCGAACAGG
rnacentral:rRNA from 1 species